AAGUCGUAACAAGGUUUCCGUAGGUGAACCUGCGGAAGGAUCAUUAUUAAAUAAUCCUUAAGGAUUUUAAAUCCUUAUCCACCUCUGUGAACUUGUAAAUGUUAGCUCCCUUUUGGCGCAUCGCAAAACAGUACUGCCUAGACUUGAGAUCCAGCCUUACGGCUAGAUCAAGGGCUUAGGUCUUACUGGGUGCGUCGGAAGGGUAGCACUUUCUAUAAACCUCCUGUCUUCUUUACUUGACUGAAAUCUGUUUCUCUGCUUUGGCAUUGAAAUGAAAAACAAAUUUGAAACAACUUUCAACAACGGAUCUCUUGGCUCCCA
rnacentral:misc_RNA from 1 species